rnacentral:sRNA from 1 species
GACGGGUGGCGCAGUAUCCUAGUCAGUUCUGCCUAUUCCCAGGACGGGCCUAAAAAUCCGUUAAAGGGCACAUCGAUGAAGUUCCUUGUGCAGGCUUCCGACGCCCAGUCGGGGGUUUGUGCUGGGGGUUAAGGUUCAGGGGUGACCCGCAAUGGCAUGCGGUGCUUGUCCCCUUUUCCGUGGAGACCUAUGAUUGUGCUUUUGAAUUGCUCGCAUUUUUCGACAAAAACAAAGUACGACUUAGGAUUAAACCUGUUUAGCGGUGCGCAUUUGUGCUGUUUGCAGAGUAGCCUGCCUUGAGCGGGCAUGAAGGAUAACAGAUCAGGCCCUGCUUUGCCGGCCAACAAAGCGGCGGUUAUUGCUGUUUGAAAUUAUGUCUGCAAUAGAGGAUAAGAAUUGGUGUGACUGCCGAGGAAAUCUCCUAGGCUGUUUCGGGUAAGCUUUAAAAGCCUUCCCGGAAAGGCGAUGAGGAUUGCAGUGCGGACUUAGUGGUAAUCCGGUUCCGGCUCAAAGCCGGGCGGCAUUUAAUGGGAAACCUCCCGAAGCGGCAACGCUCGGGAAUGCCUGCGGGAAAUCCUACUCGGACCUAUGCCGUAAAAUUUACUCCUCGCUUUGCCCCCG